rnacentral:rRNA from 1 species
GACGAACACUGGCGGCAUGCCUAAUACAUGCAAGUCGAGCGAACAGAUGAAGUGCUUGCACUUCUGACGUUAGCGGCGAACGGGUGAGUAACACGUAAGGAAUCUACCUAUAAGCGGGGGAUAACAUUCGGAAACGGGUGCUAAUACCGCAUAAUAUCUUCUUCCGCAUGGAAGAAGAUUGAAAGACGGCUCUGCUGUCACUUAUAGAUGACCUUGCGGUGCAUUAGUUAGUUGGUGGGGUAACGGCCUACCAAGACGAUGAUGCAUAGCCGACCUGGGAGGGGGAUCGGCAACAUUGGGACUGAGACACGGCCCAAACUCCUACGGGAGGCAGCAGUAGGGAAUCUUCCGCAAUGGGCGAAAGCCUGACGGAGCAAUGCCGCGUGAGUGAAGAAGGCCUUCGGGUCGUAAAACUCUGUUAUAAGAGAAGAACAAAUUGUAGAGUAACUGCUACAGUCUUGACGGUAUCUUAUCAGAAAGCCACGGCUAACUACGUGCCAGCCGCCGCAGUAA